rnacentral:rRNA from 1 species
AUUGAACGCUGGCGGCAUGCCUUACACAUGCAAGUCGAACGGCAGCACGGACUUCGGUCUGGUGGCGAGUGGCGAACGGGUGAGUAAUAUAUCGGAACAUACCUUGUAGUGGGGGAUAACUAUCCGAAAGGAUAGCUAAUACCGCAUACGCUCUAAGGAGGAAAGUGGGGGAUCGCAAGACCUCAUGCUAUAAGAGUGGCCGAUAUCUGAUUAGCUAGUUGGUGAGGUAAAGGCUCACCAAGGCGACGAUCAGUAGCUGGUCUGAGAGGACGACCAGCCACACUGGAACUGAGACACGGUCCAGACUCCUACGGGAGGCAGCAGUGGGGAAUUUUGGACAAAGGGGGCAACCCUGAUCCAGCAAUGCCGCGUGAGUGAAGAAGGCCUUCGGGUUGUAAAGCUCUUUUGUCAGGGAAGAAACGGUUGUGGCUAAUAUCCAUGGCUAAUGACGGUACCUGAAGAAUAAGCACCGGCUAACUACGUGCCAGCCGCCGCAGUAAAAC